AUACGGAGGGGGCAAGCGUUACUCGGAAUUAUUGGGCGUAAAGGGCGCGUAGGCGGUCGUGUGCGUCAGAGGUGAAAUCCCCGGGCUUAACCCGGGAACUGCCUCUGAUACGGCACGACUUGAGUCCGGGAGAGGGGAGCAGAAUUCCCAGUGUAGCGGUGAAAUGCGUAGAUAUUGGGAGGAAUACCAGUGGCGAAGGCGGCUCCCUGGACCGGUACUGACGCUGAGGCGCGAAAGCGUGGGUAGCAAACAGGAUUAGAUACCCUGGUAGUCCACGCCGUAAACGAUGGGUGCUUGGUGUCGGGGGUAUCGACCCCUCCGGUGCCGAAGCUAACGCAUUAAGCACCCCGCCUGGGGAGUACGGUCGCAAGGCUGAA
rnacentral:rRNA from 1 species